rnacentral:misc_RNA from 1 species
UUGUGGAGGAGGACGCCGAAGGUGGGGCUAAUGACUGGGGUGAAGUCGUAACAAGGUAGCCGUACCGGAAGGUGCGGCUGGAUCACCUCCUAACAGGGAGACAACAAAAUGUUUAAUAUUAUUAUUUUGUCACCUUAGGUCGAUCGGUAUCUCACAUUCUUAAUUUAUUAAGGAUUUCAUUUCCUAAGUUUUUCUAGGUCACACCCAUUAUUUUCCUGGGCCAUUAGCUCAGGUGGUUAGAGCGCACCCCUGAUAAGGGUGAGGUCCCUGGUUCAAGUCCAGGAUGGCCCAUAUCUCUAUGUUGGGGGUAUAGCUCAGUUGGUAGAGCGCCUGCUUUGCAAGCAGGAUGUCAGCGGUUCGAGUCCGCUUACCUCCACUGAUUACCACCUCUUCCAUAUUCUGUAGAAAGGGAAUUUUUUUGAGUCGUGACCAAAUUCUGAAAGAAUCUAGCUUCCUAAUGAAAUCAUUAAGAUGCUGGACUCAUUGAAUUAAUUUCAUUGUUUUCAGAGAACCUUGACAACUGCAUAGAUUUUUUUUAAAGACAAUAAGCAUCUUUAAUGAUGUAGAUUUAUUAUUUGUGCGAAUGCAUUAAUAACAAUUCUAUUAAGCUGAUGCUUCAAUUUUGAAGUUAUUGGUCAAGCUACAA